rnacentral:rRNA from 1 species
GAUGAACGCUGGCGGCGUGCUUAACACAUGCAAGUCGAACGGAAAGGCCCAAGCUUGCUUGGGUACUCGAGUGGCGAACGGGUGAGUAACACGUGGGUGAUCUGCCCUGCACUUCGGGAUAAGCCUGGGAAACUGGGUCUAAUACCGGAUAGGACGAUGGUUUGGAUGCCAUUGUGGAAAGUUUUUUCGGUGUGGGAUGAGCUCGCGGCCUAUCAGCUUGUUGGUGGGGUAAUGGCCUACCAAGGCGUCGACGGGUAGCCGGCCUGAGAGGGUGUACGGCCACAUUGGGACUGAGAGACGGCCCAGGCUCGUAAGGGAGGCAGAAGUGGGGAAUAUUGCACAAUGGGCGCAAGCCUGAUGCAGCGACGCCGCGUGGGGGAUGACGGCCUUCGGGUUGUAAACUCCUUUCGCUAGGGACGAAGCGUUUUUGUGACGGUACCUGGAGAAGAAGCACCGGCUAACUACGUG